AACACUGUUAACCUGCGGUACCUGCGGAAGGAUCAUUACAGAGUUAUCCAACUCCCAAACCCAUGUGAACUUAUCUCUUUGUUGCCUCGGCGCAAGCUACCCGGGACCCCGCGCCCCGGGCGGCCCGCCGGCGGACAAACCAAAACUCUUGUUAUCUUAGUUGAUUCUCUGAGCGUCUUAUUUAAUAAGUCAAAACUUUUAACAAUGGAUCU
rnacentral:misc_RNA from 1 species